rnacentral:lncRNA from 1 species
UUCCUAAAAGAUUGGACAUUCCAGGACUGUGCAUCCUAGACUAAGAGGUGGAGCAACACCGUCAGUCAGAAGGCAGCGGAUGGCACAGGGCUUCCGCGUAAGGCCUGCAUCGCCUGAGUCAUGGUUUUCUCAUCUUGUAUGAGGCCCACCCCCUUCAAAAGGUUGUGACAAAAAAAACAACUGAGAUAAUUUGUGCCGCUGGCACAUAGUUAACACUCAAUAAGGCCGGGCGCAGUGGCUUACACCUCUAAUCCCAGCACUUUGGGAGGCUGAGGCAGGUGGAUCACUUGAGGCCAGGAGUUCGAUACCAGCCUGACCAACAUGGUGAAACCCCAUCUCAACUAAAAAUACAAAAAUUAGCCAGGCAUGGUGGUGUGCACCUGUAGUCCCAGCUACUUGGGAGCCUGAGGCAGGAGCAUCUCUUGAACCCGGGAGGUGGAGGUUGCAGUGAGCGGAGAUGGCACCACUGCACUCCAGCCUGGGCGACAGAACAAGACUCUGUCUCAAAACAACAACAACAACAAAAUAAUAAAUGGUG